UGGGGAAUCUUGCGCAAUGGGCGAAAGCCUGACGCAGCAACGCCGCGAGGAGGAAGAAGGCCUUCGGGUUGUAAACUCCUGUCAGGGGGAAAGAAGGCACCUGGGUGAAUAGCCCAAGGGCUGACGGUACCCCCAGAGGAAGCCACGGCUAACUACGUGCCAGCAGCCGCGGUAAUACGUAGGUGGCGAGCGUUGUCCGGAAUUAUUGGGCGUAAAGAGCGCGUAGGCGGCUUGCCAGGUCCGACGUGAAACCCCGGGGCUCAACUCCGGACGUGCAUCGGAAACCGGCUUGCUAGAGUCUGGGAGAGGGGAGUGGAAUUCCUGGUGUAGCGGUGAAAUGCGCAGAUAUCAGGAGGAAUACCGGUAGCGAAGGCUGCUCCCUGGAACAGUACUGACGCCGAGGCGCGAAAGCUAGGGGAGCGAACAG
rnacentral:rRNA from 1 species